AAAUUGAAGAGUUUGAUCAUGGCUCAGAUUGAACGCUGGCGGCAGGCCUAACACAUGCAAGUCGAACGGUAACAGGAAACAGCUUGCUGUUUCGCUGACGAGUGGCGGACGGGUGAGUAAUGUCUGGGAAACUGCCUGAUGGAGGGGGAUAACUACUGGAAACGGUAGCUAAUACCGCAUAACGUCGCAAGACCAAAGAGGGGGACCUUCGGGCCUCUUGCCA
rnacentral:rRNA from 1 species